UGGUAAUACCCGAAGUCGGUUUAGUUAACUACGGAAACGACCGCCUAAGGUAGGACUGGUGACUGGGGUUAAGUCGUAACAAGGUAUCCCUACGAGAACGUGGGGAUGGAUUACCUCCUUUCUAACGGAGUACAUUAUUAACUUACAUUUUUAGACUAUUUAUUUUAUAUUUUAAGUCAUGUACAUUGUAAUAGUCCAAUGGUAUAUCUAGUUUUGAGAGAACUUCUCUCAAAUGUUCUUUGAAAACUGAAUAGUAAAGAUAUUAUUAAUAUAACAACGACAUCAAAAAAACAAGUCAAUUUGUUUUGUUGAACCGAGUUAAAUUAUUGCAAAAAUAAUUUAUUAAAAUGUCUUUGAAUACAUCAACAAUAGGAAAAUAACAUAACUUUUAAAUAAGUAAGAGUUUGUGGUGGAUGCCUUGGGUCUGGAAGUCGAUGAAGGAC
rnacentral:misc_RNA from 1 species